ACCGGCGCUCGGCGAUAUAUCUCUCGUAAUAUCAUAUAACGAGUUUUUAUAUGCAAUAUCAGAUUGUUGAUGCUUUUCAGGAAACUCAACUUUGCAACGUAAGGUUGUAUUAAAGUGUUAUAAAAUAUCUAAUAAAUCGAUGACCGUAUGCGUGCAGAUUGGUGGCGAGCGCGGCCAACGCUCACCGCUUUGAUGUGAACGUCGCUGUUCCCGCGCUGUGUGCUCGAGCGGAAACGGUGUGCUGAAUUCCGAAACCGAGUACCUUACUUGCUGAGAGAGGGAAUAUACACAAGUGCACAGCAGUAGCGGCAGCAGAGGCAGCGAAAGGAGGGAAAUCAGGAUGGACGUGGAGGCAGCGAUAGCGUCUACAGUAAACGUGCAGGAGGCGUUCCGCACCCUCACAUUACUGCAGCUCACAUAUCAUUUAUUUCCUAAGCCGGCCGAGCUGUCAGACGGCGACUGCUUCGAUU